rnacentral:rRNA from 1 species
UACAGAGGGUGCAAGCGUUAAUCGGAUUUACUGGGCGUAAAGGGCUCGUAGGCGGCCAACUAAGUCGGACGUGAAAUCCCUCGGCUUAACCGGGGAACUGCGUCUGAUACUGGAUGGCUUGAAUCCGGGAGAGGGAUGCGGAAUUCCAGGUGUAGCGGUGAAAUGCGUAGAUAUCUGGAGGAACACCGGUGGCGAAGGCGCACAUCUGGCCCGAUACUGACGCUGAGGCGCGAAAGCUAGGGGAGCAAACGGG